rnacentral:rRNA from 1 species
CAGUAGCCGCGGUAAGACAGAGGAUGCAAGCGUUAUCCGGAAUGAUUGGGCGUAAAGCGUCUGUAGGUGGCUUUUCAAGUCCGCCGUCAAAUCCCAGGGCUCAACCCUGGACAGGCGGUGGAAACUACCAAGCUGGAGUACGGUAGGGGCAGAGGGAAUUUCCGGUGGAGCGGUGAAAUGCGUUAAGAUCAGAAAGAACACCAACGGCGAAAGCACUCUGCUGGGCCGACACUGACACUGAGAGACGAAAGCUAGGGGAGCAAAUGGGAUUAGAUACCCGGGUAGUCCCUGUCUCUUAUAC